UACAGAGGUCUCAAGCGUUGUUCGGAUUCAUUGGGCGUAAAGGGUGCGUAGGUGGCCCGGUCAGUCAGUGGUGAAAGCGCGGGGCUCAACUCCGCGUCGGCCAUUGAUACUGCUGGGCUGGAGCACUGUAGAGGCAGGCGGAAUUCCGGGUGUAGCGGUGGAAUGCGCAGAUAUCAGGAGGAACAGCCGGUGGCGAAGGCGCCACUCUGGGCCGGUACUGACGCUGAGGAGCGAAAGCGUGGGGAGCGAACAGG
rnacentral:rRNA from 1 species